GUUUCCGUAGGUGACCCUGCGGAAGGAUAAUUAUUGUAUAUCCGAGGUGCGAGGGCUGUCGCUGAUUAGAUACGUCGUGCACGCACGAGUGCUUUCACACAUUUCAAUCUGACAUCUAAGUGAAACACGGCGUGGGGCUCCCUUUGGAUUGUUCGUUGGGGGGCUUACGUUUUUACACAGACUAUGCAUGUAGUGAAGAAAGUAUUUUUUGCUUUUGCGAUAACGUAAGCAAUAGAACUUUUAACAACGGAUUUCUUGGCUAACGCAUCGAAGAAGAAA
rnacentral:misc_RNA from 1 species